rnacentral:rRNA from 1 species
GACGAACGCUGGCGGCGUGCUUAACACAUGCAAGUGGAGCGACGAACCAGGCUUCGGCCUGGGGCAGAGCCGCGAACGGGUGAGUAACACGUGGGUGACCUGCCCCGAUGACCGGGACAACCCGAGGAAACUCGGGCUAAUACCGGAUGCGUCCACCUCGCGACAGCGGGGCGGGCAAAGGUAGCUUCGGCCUCCGCAUCGGGAUGGGCCCGNGGCCCAUUAGCUUGUUGGUGAGGUAACGGCUCACCAAGGCGACGAUGGGUAGCUGGUCUGAGAGGACGAUCAGCCACACUGGGACUGAGACACGGCCAGACUCCUACGGGAGCAGCAGUGGGGAAUCUUGCGCAAUGCGCGAAAGCGUGACGCAGCAACGCCGCGUGGGGAAGACGG